GACGAACGCUGGCGGCGUGCUUAACACAUGCAAGUCGAGCGGUAAGGCCCUUCGGGUACACGAGCGGCGAACGGGUGAGUAACACGUGGGUGACCUGCCUCUAGCCCUCGGGAUAAGCCUGGGAAACUGGGUCUAAUACCGGAUAUGACUCCACGGCGCAUGUUGUGGGGUGGAAAGCCUUGAGUGGCUAGAGAUGGGCCCGCGGCCUAUCAGCUUGUUGGUGGGGUGAGGCCUACCAAGGCGACGACGGGUAGCCGGCCGUGAGAGGCGACCGGCCACACUGGGACUGAGACACGGCCCAGACUCCUACGGGA
rnacentral:rRNA from 1 species